CAAAAGAUAGUUUAUCAAAACCCUAACUUUGGGAGUUAAAAAUCAACUUUCGUUGUCUUUUGAC
rnacentral:tRNA from 1 species